GUGAGGGCAAUCUGGCCGUGACAUCUGUCACCCCUGUCACCAGGGUUGAUUUGGCUGAUCUGGCUGAUUAGGCGGGUGUCCACUUCCUCCCUCAUCGCUCCAGAAGCUGUAUGCUCAGUGGAAGAGGACGACCAUCCCCAUAGAAGAGGACUGGUCUUCAGUCAGGGGUAUGUGAGUAGCUGUGCUCCGCUGCCAGAACCUCCAAACAAGCUCUCAAAAUAUUACUGUAGCUUCUUUGAUGCAACAAUGAAAAAGCACCAACUGUUGAAUGGUAAUUUUAUUGAAAUUUAAAUACGU
rnacentral:snRNA from 1 species